rnacentral:rRNA from 1 species
AGAGAGAGACAUGCGCGCAUAUCAAUAAGCGGAGGAAAAGAAACUAACAAGGAUUCCCUUAGUAACGGCGAGUGAAGCGGGAAGAGCUCAAAUUUGAAAUCUUCAAGGUUUUACCUUGACGAAUUGUAGUUUAAAGAAGUGUUUUUCUGCUGAAGUUUUGGUAAAGAGUUCCUUGGAAUAGGACAUCAUAGAGGGUGAGAAUCCCGUAUUUGACCAUUAUUUUCAGCUUUGUGAUACACUUUCAAAGAGUCGGAUUGUUUGGGAAUGCAGUCCAAAAUGGGUGGUAAAUUUCAUCUAAAGCUAAAUAUUGGCGAGAGACCGAUAGCGAACAAGUACCGUGAGGGAAAGAUGAAAAGAACUUUGAAAAGAGAGUUAAACAGUACGUGAAAUUGUCAAAAGGGAAGCGUUUGACACCAGUGUUGUUUUCCUCGAAAAUCAAUUAAAAAUGGCUCGAUUUUGUAUUGUUGAGACCUUAAAAGCUCACUGUACAUUUUUCGUGUCUUUUUUAAUGCACUUUUCGUUUAACAAGUCAACAUCAGUUUCUUUUGUUGUAAAAGGGUCAUUGGAAGGUGGCCUUCUUUUCGGAGAAAGUGUUUAUAGCCUUUGGCCUCUGCAAUCGAAGAGACUGAGGUCUGCAGCGUAGACUCUUCGGGGUUAGAUACAUUUGUGCUAAGUUAUAGCUUUUUAUAGACAACUUGUUGACUAUAAUUAGUCUUGUAGCUUACUCGCCUAUGCUAUUUUACCUACGCUUAGGAUGUUGAGUCGUAGAGCACGCAG